rnacentral:lncRNA from 1 species
CAUGCCCGAGGCUGAGGCCAGCCUGGCGGGUGUCAGCAACGCGUGUCAGCAGCCGCGGCGGAGGGAUAAACACUGGGCCUAGAAAGGGAGCCUGGGAAAGGCCAGAGAUGGCGGCCAGGAUUCCCUUUGCAUCGGCUCUCUGGAUUCUGCUUUUAAUUUCCCUGCUCUCCAGACUGGGGGGCGCUCCCUGAGCCACUCCUUAUCCUGAGGCUCCCUAGGAAAUCACUCCCCGAUUAUCUGAGGAUCCUACCAGGCUGGGGAAAGAAGAGCAAGUUUCUUCGAAGGCAUGCCCCACCCCACCACACACCCUUCACUGAGAUCCUGGAAUACAGGGAUGGGACAGAAAGCCUGCCCCUCCUCCACAGACCUGGAACCUGAGACCCAAAGAGGGAAGAGUCACUCAAGGUCACAUGGCAGUCAGUGGCAAAGGAUCAUCUUGUUCCUCCGCUUCACACAAUACUGACCAUCGGACUGACCCCUCCUUCCCCCAACCACCGUUACAAGCACGCGUUGUCCUGUGCUCACAGGGUCAUGGACAAGGAAUGUCAUCCUCUCCCAACUCCCAGGGCCCUUGGCAGUCACACCCACUGUGGCUCAUGCAGCCUUAGGGACAGGCACAUGAAUGCUGCCCACCCCCAGGACAUUUGCCUAAUCUGGGACCCUUCUAGAAGCCUCCCUACCAGGCAGGCAUUAGGGGUGCUGUACUCCCGGUCCCCAUAAGGGAAUUAGGUGACAGUCUCCAGGGCAAGAAAACCCACAACUUGGGGGUACCACAGGGAGCUGCUUACCCUCAAAGCCCAGCUCUAGCCCCAGGACACCCUGUCUCCACAGAGCCCACAAGCUCGCAGCCUUGUCAAAGACACCUCCCCACCGCCCAUACAGGGUCUAACUCACGGGUGACACAUGGGCUCAGGGUUAUAUACACACGGCACACACAAGAAGAGAUUAUGAGCUGACCCUGCAUCCACGGCUUUUCAGUCCCUCCGGCACAACACAGUCAAGAUCUGGCAAGACCAGUGUGCGCGCUGGACUCUCGGGAUCCCAGGGUUUGGGUCGUACACACUCUUAUGCCCUUGCACACAGCCCCAUCCACGUCCACGCACCCAGAGUUGGGGACACCUGCACACUCCAUCCCACAUCCCUUCCCUGCACACUCAGCGUGUCACACACACUCCGAUCCCAAAAGCCUGAGCUGAGUUUCCCGCCCCAAGCCCCAACCCCAAACCCUUUG